rnacentral:RNase_P_RNA from 1 species
GAAGCACGCCAGACCGCCGCUGGUGCUAGUGCCGAAAGGCCGCACUGGAGGAACGUCCGGACUGCACAGGACAGCGUAGCAGCUAACGGCUGCCCACCGUGAGGUGAGGAUCAGAGCAACAGAGACGAGUCAAGGCGAUCCCCGUAUUCCGGGUGUUCCAUGACAUCCAGGCGCAAGCCUGCAAUGACAUGGCCACCCGAAGCGGCGGAGCCGCCUUGGGUGAAACGGGCAAUCUCUACGCGCAGCAAUACCAAGUAGGCCAGCGUUGAUGUGGUUCCGCAGAGUUGGCGGGUAGGUAGCAUUGAGCCGUGGUGGCGACACCCGGCCCAGAUUAAUGGCGGUCACGCCGUGGGCGACCACGGUGCACAGAAUCCGGCUUAUCGGCGGGCUUCACAC